UCAAGAAACAGGUGUGGGGUAGGCAUUCCAGAAGAAGAGGCAUUUCCUUCAUAUGGCACAAUUGCCUGAACUGCUUCCUGAAGCUCUGCUGCAACUGCAGCGCUGGACUCAUCCUUAUAGCCACCCAGAUCCUUGUUGAGCCUCUUGCUCCUGCAGACAAACUUCACGUCUAGUGGCUCUUUCAUCUUUUCGGCAUGGCGCUUGCAUGGAGUUGUCCUUAGCUCUAGCUCGUCAAUGAUCAUGAGAUCCUCCUCCUGGCCAUCCUUGUCCUUGGUCCCCUUUUCCUCCUCUGAUUCCUUAGCAGUCCCCACCUUUUCAUCCAC
rnacentral:lncRNA from 1 species